CAGUCGCCGCGGGAAAACGUAGGUGGCGAGCGUUGCUCGGAAUCACUGGGCGUAAAGGGUGCGUAGGCGGGUCUUUAAGUCAGGGGUGAAAUCCUGGAGCUCAACUCCAGAACUGCCUUUGAUACUGAAGAUCUUGAGUUCGGGAGAGGUGAGUGGAACUGCGAGUGUAGAGGUGAAAUUCGUAGAUAUUCGCAAGAACACCAGUGGCGAAGGCGGCUCACUGGCCCGAUACUGACGCUGAGGCACGAAAGCGUGGGGAGCAAGCAGGAUUAGAUACCACGGUAGUCCCUGUCUCUUAUAC
rnacentral:rRNA from 1 species